UUCUUUGAUUUUUCAUCUUCUGCGUUUUUCUUCUUCUUUUCCCUCGAUCUUCCAGCUUCUUAUUCUUCUUCUUCUUCUGCGUUUUUCUUCUUCUUUUUCUUCGAUCUUCCAGCUUCUUCUUCUUCUUUAGCAUUUUUCUUCUUUGUUUUCUUCGAUCUUCUAGCAUCUUCUUCUUCUUCUUCUUCUUCUUCGUUUUUCAUGUGAUUUCUUUACCUACAAAAUUAGGGCUUUGAUUUGUUUUUAUGUGAUUUCUUUAUCUGCAAAAUUAGGGCUUUAAUCUACAAAAUUAGGGCUUUGAUUCACAAGGAAGAAGUCUUAAUUUCAGAGGCUUAAACUAGAUCUACAGCAUCGAGUUUGGAAGAGUAAAACAGUAGGCUCAGUAGGGGCCUCAUCCGCACAGCCUGCUCCUACAAAUACACCUACAACUCCGCCCAAUUCAAAUUAUACUGCUGCACCUGACACAUGUGUUGAAGCACCGUGAGUUUACUUGAAAACCACCUUUUCAAUUGUGUUUUUCUUUUUCUUUUUUCCAAUUUGUAUCUGGUCUUUGGAUUAGCUAAUAUUAUAUCGGAGAUAUGUAUUAUCGUGUAGGCCCCCCUAGAGCACCACAGCUGCUUCAAACACUGCUGAAUAUGUUUUUGUAUUUAUAAUGAUUUUAUAUCACAAAUUGUUCAAAUGGUUUAGUGAUGAAACUUGUUUUUGUCGAGAAAGUUAAGAGUUGAACCAUCUUUAGUUGGACCCCCUCUGCUCUUGUUCUUUCCCUUUUACUCUUCUACUUCUGCUUCUUAUCUCUCCACUUGCUCUUGUCUUCCCCUUCUACCUUGCCUUUACCCACCCUUUGUUUAUUCUUCCUCCCUUUUUCUUCUGCUACAUCUAUUGUUUAGAUAUUAUUAUUAUUAUUAUUAUUUUUUAAAUAAUUAGUUCCUAGGCAUAUCAUAAUAUGCCAAAAAGAGCUUUGGAUGACUGUAAGGAUUUAAUGACAGUGAGUUUGAAAAGAGCUUUGGAUGGAAUAAGGGCUUGGAGAGGUUGGAAUCAAGCUUAAACUAGGAAAUUUGGAUAGCGUCAGUUGCUAUUUCCUCAGAUGAAUUAAACAUGAUGAACCGCGUAAUGGAACACUUGAAUGUGAUAUGUCAUUGGCUCUAUCUGAAUUUUUGCAAAUAAUGUUUACAGAUGUUUAUUUGUUACAGUUUUGUGAGGCAAGAAAAUGAAAUUUUGUUAAAGUGAUGUUAACAUCUGAUAAUUCUCCUCUUCCACUUGUUUAUUUUAAUUAGAAAAUAUAUAAUCUGGAUUCUGCAUUAUGUUGUUUAAGUGUUGCAAUGAUUGAAAUGGUAUUAUAUUUUUGUUUCAGCAUACAAACAGAUACAUAUGGUCAAGCUGUUUUUUUUUACUUUUUUUGUAUUCAAUCUCAGUUUUGUAGGUGAAAGGAUUAUGAUUCUCUACAUGAUUUAUUUGACAGUUUUUUUUUUUAUUUUCAUCCACAUAUAAGUCAUUAUGUAAUUGGUUAUACAUUUGAUCUAAACUCCAACUUUUAGAUAUAUACUUUUUUUUACCAUCUAUUUGUUUUAGAUAUUUUUAGGUGGUAUAUUACAUUAUGACACCUUAGCAUUCGUCACUUGGUUUAAAACAUUAGCAUUGAAAUUUUAUAUAUGUAGUGGGCAUUAGCAUUCACGCCCAUGAUCACCAUAUCUGCAUGCUGCAUAUUAAACAAUUUAGGGGUAAUUUGAAACUAAAUCUUAUAAGAAAUUAUCUGAAAAAAAACAUUUAAAAAAAAAAUAUAAAUCCAGCUUUAUCAAUUUAAAAACUUCACCACUACCAGAAUAUGGAACAAAAUGUCAUCCAUGAAACGGACAAUUUAUCUUUGCAUUUCAAUGCCCUGUUUGUCUCAAAUUUUGAUACAUUGGUUUUGGCUUUUGAGGCUUAAAUGAACCUUCUAAAUGAGUUUGAACUCUUUUAUUAAAGAGCUUAAAAAACCAAACCCAAUGAAGUGUAGUUUCUCAUGAAUGACACGAUUGUAUAAGUAGAAAUUGUUAACGAAGCAUAAUCAGGAAAUUAUCUGUAAUGCAGUUUUUUCUUGCUGUCAUAGUGUUUGUUUCUCUGCAUAUUAAUCCUUGCUUUUCUUGCCAUAAUCAUCUCUAUUAUCAGCCAAAAGAGGAAAGCUGCAUAGCCUUCCCAAAGCCACUCCUUACAUUGCCAAAAUAUUGUAAACUAUGUCUCUAACUUGAGCAAUAUAGGAAGAUGCUGUGAAGGGAUAGGAGAGAUGACAACUUUUCCUCUGUUCCUUCCUGUUGCAGAUUGGUUUUCAUUGUUCCUAAGGCAUACGUUAUGUUAAGUUGGUAGUGACUAUUCAUUUUUGGCAUUUGGUGGUUUAAAAUUCCAUACAGUCAAGUUUCUAAAGAGCAAGACCAUGUUUGAUGCAACAAGUUCAAUGCAACAUUCGUCUCCCACUUACACCGUUGCUCACCGGCACCGUUGUUAUUUUUAGUUGCACUUGUUUAUAUAUUUUUAUUUUCUUAUAUUGUACACAUUUGAAUCAUUUUUUUAAUUUUGCCAUGACUAUUAUAUGUAUGUAAUGACAUUGUUAUUUUAUAAAUAAUAUUUACAA